UAUAACUUAAAGUUUGCAUGACCAAGAAACAACAAUAUACCUUUUCUGUCCCAAGCAAAUUGGAUUAGGUUGGAGAAGAAACCCAUCUAGAGCCACAAGAAUAUGUAAAAAGAGCUAAAUCGAUUGUAGCGGUAAUAAACAAGAACUGUGAUUCUAUAAGCAUGAAGUGCUGGUGUUAUCUACUUGGUGUAUUUGUAAUCUACAAUGUUUACUUCUUAAUGCAAAUGAUGAACAAUUAUGCCUAUUUGAGAAAUAGAAACAAGAACGA
rnacentral:lncRNA from 7 species